GAUUGACGUUACCCGCAGAAGAAGCACCGGCUAACUCCGUGCCAGCAGCCGCGGUAAUACGGAGGGUGCAAGCGUUUAAUCGGAAUUACUGGGCGUAAAGCGCACGCAGGCGGUCUGUUAAGUCAGAUGUGAAAUCCCCGGGCUUAACCCGGGAACUGCAUUUGAAACUGGCAGGCUUGAGUCUCGUAGAGGGGGGUAGAAUUCCAGGUGUAGCGGUGAAAUGCGUAGAGAUCUGGAGGAAUACCGGUGGCGAAGGCGGCCCCCUGGACGAAGACUGACGCUCAGGUGGGAAAGCGUGGGGAGCAAACCAGGAUUAGAUACCCUGGUAGUCCCCCCCGUAAACGAUGUCGACUUGGAGGUUGUUCCCUUGAGGAGUGGCUUCCGGGAGCUAACGCGUUAAGUCGACCGCCUGGGGAGUACGGCCGCAAGGUUAAAACUCAAAUGAAUUGACGGGGGCCCGCACAAGCGGUGGAGCAUGUGGUUUAAUUCGAUGCAACGCGAAGAACCUUACCUACUCUUGACAUCCAGAGAACUUAGCAGAGAUGCUUUGGUGCCUUCGGGAGCUCUGAGACAGGUGCUGCAUGGCUGUCGUCAGCUCGUGUUGUGAAAUGUUGGGUUAAGUCCCGCAACGAGCGCAACCCUUAUCCUUUGUUGCCAGCGAUUCGGUCGGGAACUCAAAGGAGACUGCCGGUGAUAAACCGGAGGAAGGUGGGGAUGACGUCAAGUCAUCAUGGCCCUUACGAGUAGGGCUACACACGUGCUACAAUGGCGCAUACAAAGAGAAGCGACCUCGCGAGAGCAAGCGGACCUCAUAAAGUGCGUCGUAGUCCGGAUCGGAGUCUGCAACUCGACUCCGUGAAGUCGGAAUCGCUAGUAAUCGUGGAUCAGAA
rnacentral:rRNA from 1 species